UACGUAGGGUGCGAGCGUUAAUCGGAAUUACUGGGCGUAAAGCGUGCGCAGGCGGUUUGUUAAGCCAGAUGUGAAAGCCCCGGGCUCAACCUGGGAACUGCGUUUGGUACUGGCAAGCUAGAGUACGGCAGAGGGGGGUGGAAUUCCACGUGUAGCAGUGAAAUGCGUAGAUAUGCGGAGGAACACCGAUGGCGAAGGCAAUCCCCUGGGCCUGCACUGACGCUCAUGCACGAAAGCGUGGGGAGCAAACAGG
rnacentral:rRNA from 1 species